ensembl:lncRNA LINC02277 long intergenic non-protein coding RNA 2277
ACUCUAAGCAGACUUCCUAGGUAGCUCUGAAACAGGUGGUCUGUAGACCACACUUUAAGAAUUAUCUUCAAGGAUUGGGCUAGUUUUAGUUUGUAGUGAUUUCUUGUGUCUCUUAAUGAAGGCCUAGACAAUAUAGUCUGGAUUGAUUGGAUAAACACAGAGGAACAAGAGAGCGGCAGAAUUGUACCAUGCAUGCAGCAGGCCAUGCUCUACACGGGCCUCUCAGGAUGCAGCAGAGAGAUAUACAGGCUUUUUGGAAUACUGAUGUGAGUGUAGAGGCCAGAAAAAUGAAGCUAGGUGGUAUUGGAGGAGAAUCUCUGAAGACUGCUCUCAGUAGGCUGACAACAAGUUAAGAUGAAUGUGUAACUGUUUUCUACAUUCUUCUUACUGCUAUAAAAAUAAUUGAAAUGCAGAAUGCUUAACUUCAUUCAGCUGUAAGCCUUGUAAGAACAUCAAUAAAAAUUUAAAAAUUC